GACGAACGCUGGCGGCGUGCUUAACACAUGCAAGUCGAACGGAAAGGCCCUGCUUUUGUGGUGUGCUCGAGUGGCGAACGGGUGAGUAACACGUGAGUAACCUGCCCUUGACUUUGGGAUAACUUCAGGAAACUGGGGCUAAUACCGGAUAGGAGCUCCUGCUGCAUGGUGGGGGUUGGAAAGUUUCGGCGGUUGGGGAUGGACUCGCGGCUUAUCAGCUUGUUGGUGGUGUAGUGGCUUACCAAGGCUUUGACGGGUAGCCGGCCUGAGAGGGUGACCGGCCACAUUGGGACUGAGAUACGGCCCAGACUCCUACGGGCGGCAGCAGUGGGGAAUAUUGCACAAUGGGCGGAAGCCUGAUGCAGCAACGCCGCGUGCGGGAUGACGGCCUUCGGGUUGUAAACCGCUUUCGCCUGUGACGAAGCGUGAGUGACGGUAAUGGGUAAAGAAGCACCGGCUAACUACGUG
rnacentral:rRNA from 1 species